AGCAGCCGCGGUAAUUCCAGCUCCAAUAGCGUAUAUUAAAGUUGUUGCAGUUAAAAAGCUCGUAGUUGAAUUUCGGGAUCAAUGGGUUGGUCAUGCCCUCGGUAUGUACUGAUUUCAUUGGUUCUCACCUUCUAAGGAACCAUGAUGUCAUUUAUUUGAUGUUGUGGGAAAUUAGGACUGUUACCUUGAAAAAAUUAGAGUGUUUAAAGCAGGCUAACGCUUGAAUACAUUAGCAUGGAAUAAUGAAAUAGGACAUCCGAUUCUAUUUUGUUGGUUUCUAGGAUCGAUGUAAUGAUUAAUAGGGAUAGUUGGGGGCAUUAGUAUUCAAUUGUCAGAGGUGAAAUUCUUGGAUUUAUUGAAGACUAACUACUGCGAAAGCAUUUGCCAAGGAUGUUUUCAUUAAUCAAGAACGAAAGUUAGGGGAUCGAAGACGAUCAGAUACCGUCGUAGUCUUAACCAUAAACUAUGCCGACUAGGGAUCGGAUGAUGCUUAUUUUUAAUGACUCAUUC
rnacentral:sRNA from 1 species